rnacentral:rRNA from 1 species
CACCAACCCCACCCCCACCGCCACCGUCGACGACCCUCACCGUAGACAAGGUCGAGGCUGACCCAAGAUCGAGCCCAUGCCCAGAUUCACGAGUGGAGCCCCGCGAAGCUGCCCGCAAACUGCUCCUCUUCCCCACCCCCGAUUCCUCUCCAGUCUCCGCCGCCGCCGCCGAUCCCCACCCCCACCGGCGACCUCGUCUCCCCGUCUCCGGCCCCAUCCCCACCUCCGGCCGACCUCCCUCCUCAUCUCGUCCAUCCACCCAUGGAAACCCCCUUUUCCACGGAUCCACCCACCCAUCCACGCCCACCCAUGGAUAGAUGGAUGGGGCGCACCAGUUCCGGCGACGGCGGCGCCGGAUCCGCACCCACCUGCGUGAUGGAGGCCGGCCGCAUCGGGAUCCACCGCCUGCUCUCGGUCUUGUGCGGCACACCGGACCACACCGGAGAUUGCUACUGCGGUGGCCGUCGACGACGGCGCAUCUCCGGCGGGACCUAGAUGCCCAAGGCAUGCAUCCGUGGUUGGUGACCUCGCGUGCCGCCAUUGCCGGAGGCUGGCUGGCUGGCUGGACGGGCGUCCGCGGUGCCGGUGUUUUGCAGCCUUACAUCUCAGGGAAGACGCUUGCUAAAAUGUGUGCAUGCCAAGAUUCCUGUGGUUCCAGACUGAUUGCUCGUGCGGAUGGGAGGUGGAUGCCCGCACGGAUCCGGUGUCUCCGACCUCGGCAUCCACAAGGAGGAGCGGCGACAAUUACAUACCCAACCAUGGGGCAGCAGCAAUUCAUGAUGUUUUGCAUCAGCCUGUCAUUGCUAAGGAAGAAGCAGUACUUGAAGAAGCAGACUACAUGUUUUCUUGUUGUGAAGCACUAGAUAGUUCUAUUUAUUCUUUCCUGUUCUAGAGUAUUUCAGCAGCUGAAUGCUUGAAUACGUAAUGUUGUAGGUUGCUUGGAUCUGUAUAAAAUAUGGAUGUGAUGGAAAUUUGUAGAAUGUGAGUUUUGAGAUAUUUAUGUAAUAUUCAGCUAAUUGGUGGUGAUUCAUAUUGUUAUUCAAAUUGGUUUGAAAA